rnacentral:piRNA from 1 species
UGGAGAUUAGAAACAGUAGGGGAUUC